AGUGAACGCUGGCGGCAUGCCUAACACAUGCAAGUCGAACGGCAGCACGAUCUGAGCUGCCAGAUAGAGGGCGCGAGGCGCACGGGUGUGAGAUAUACCGGAAAAUGCACUGUUUCGGGGGGGAAAAAGUCGAAAGACUAGCGAAAAUACCAUAUACCCCGAGGGGGAAAGUGGGGGGCCGCAAGGGCCCAUGCGAUAGGAGAGGCGGAUGUCUGAUUAGCUAGUGGGUGAGGUGAAGGCGCACCAAGGCGACGAUCAGUAGCUGGUCUGAGAGGACGAUCAGCCACACUGGGACUGAGACACGGCCCAGACUCCUACGGGAGGCAGCAGUGGGGAAUUUUGGACAAUGGGCGAAAGCCUGAUCCAGCAAUGCCGCGUGUGUGAAGAAGGCCUUCGGGUUGUAAAGCACUUUUGUCCGGAAAGAAAUGGCUCUGGUUAAUACCUGGGGUCGAUGACGGUACCGGAAGAAUAAGGACCGGCUAACUACGUG
rnacentral:rRNA from 1 species